rnacentral:lncRNA from 1 species
GAAACUCUUGAUCUCCUUGAAGAGCUUGGCGUAAAGGUAAAUAAAAACAUGUUGUGACGUAAUGCGGAAGUGAUAUCGGUUGCUUGAAAAAUGGAUUUUUGUCAAAUUACAGUGAACAAGUUAUUGUGAGAUAGUCUGAUUACUUUGGAGCUGCCAGAUUGUGUAUGAAAUCCUAAACAAAGUAUUUCAACAACUUUUUCAUGAACCACAGAAACUUCACCUUACCAAAUUGUAGGACCAGACAUUGUGAGAAAGUUUGAUUGCAUUCACUGCCAGAGCUAAAGCUAGAAAAGAAACUAAACAACUUCUUCUCAUGAUCUGCUUAAUUGAUCUUCACAUUGAAUUGUCAACCUGUAUGCUACAUUGUAUAAUGACGUUGAGCAAAUAAAGAUACUGCAGUCAGCGUUACAACCUUCAUUAAACAGAAUGAAUUGGUGUUACAGAAAUGGAUAACAUAUGGAGACAAACACUUUCAGGCUACAGAAACUACACUAUGAGACUAUGAGAAUGGCUUAUUUCCAUGAUGGAACUCAUACCACAAAGAAAGAACUCGCUUUAUCUUGUUUCUUAUAACUAGUCCUCAAAGACAUACCCAAGUAAACUACAACAGGAAUGAAAGCAAACAAAGUUGAUUCAGGAUUUAGAAUUGAAUGUUUUUGUGUCAACAGUGUGUGAAAACUGCGGAAAAUAGGAUUUUAAUUUCAAGGAUUUGAUUUAGUAUGUCAAGGAGUGAUUUGUUUUUAAUUCAUCACACAAAUUAUUGACAAUGCUCUAAAAUAUAAAUAUGAUGUGUAAAUACAGACUUUCAUACCUAACUAAAAUAAUGUUGAACUCAACAGAAUAAACAAACUACCAUCUGUUGUAUAAUAUAUUAGUUGAUUUAUCAAACUUUGUCAGUUUUGUUACAUUACUUAUCAUUGAUAGAAUCUAUUAUCUAAUAACUCUUUACAGUGUGUCAAGUACUCAUCAUUAUAAGCUAUUUUGAAAUAAUUACAGGACUGAUAUUUUA